UACGUAGGGUGCGAGCGUUGUCCGGAAUUAUUGGGCGUAAAGAGCUCGUAGGCGGUGUGUCACGUCGGCCGUGAAAACCUGCAGCUUAACUGUGGGCGUGCGGUCGAUACGGGCAUCACUGGAGUUCGGCAGGGGGGACUGGAAUUCCUAGUGUAGCGGUGAAAUGCGCAGAUAUUAGGAGGAACACCGGUGGCGAAGGCGCCACUCUGGGCCGAAACUGACGCUGAGGAGCGAAAGCGUGGGUAGCAAACAGG
rnacentral:rRNA from 1 species